AUCAAUGAUCAAUCAUCUUAUGCACUCUACAUCUCUAACCUGCUAUAACAGGUUAGAGAUGUAGAGUGCAUAAGAUGAUUGAUCAGUGGGGGC